GACGAACGCUGGCGGCGUGCUUAACACAUGCAAGUCGAACGGUGAAGCGCCUUCCUUUUUGGUGGGUGUGGAUGAGUGGCGAACGGGUGAGUAACACGCGAGUAACCUGCCCCCUUCUUCUGGAUAACCGCAUGAAAGUGUGGCUAAUACGGGAUAUUCUGGGUCUGUCGCAUGAUGGGUCUGGGAAAGAUAUUGUUUCGGUGGGGGAUGGGCUCGCGGCCUAUCAGCUUGUUGGUGGGGUGAUGGCCUACCAAGGCGGUGACGGGUAGCCGGCCUGAGAGGGUGGCCGGUCACACUGGGACUGAGACACGGCCCAGACUCCUACGGGAGGCAGCAGUGGGGAAUAUUGCACAAUGGGCGCAAGCCUGAUGCAGCGACGCCGCGUGAGGGAUGGAGGCCUUCGGGUUGUGAACCUCUUUCGCCAGUGAAGCAGGCCUGCCUCGUUUGUGGGUGGGUUGACGGUAGCUGGAUAAGAAGCGCCGGCUAACUACGUG
rnacentral:rRNA from 1 species